UAUUGGUCAAUGGGCUAAGGCCUGAACCAGCCAAGUCGCGUGAGGGAAGACGGUCCUAUGGAUUGUAAACCUCUUUUGUCAGGGAGCAAUUGGCGCUACGUGUAGCGUUAUCGAGAGUACCUGAAGAAAAAGCAUCGGCUAACUCCGUGCCAGCAGCCGCGGUAAUACGGGGUAUGCGAGCGUUAUCCGGAUUUAUUGGGUUUAAAGGGUGCGUAGGCGGAAUGCCAAGUCAGCGGUAAAAUCGCGGGGCUCAACCUCGCUCCGCCGUUGAAACUGGCGUUCUUGAGUGGGCGGGAAGUAUGCGGAAUGCGUGGUGUAGCGGUGAAAUGCAUAGAUAUCACGCAGAACUCCGAUUGCGAAGGCAGCAUACCGGCGCCCAACUGACGCUGAAGCACGAAAGCGUGGGUAUCG
rnacentral:rRNA from 1 species